rnacentral:rRNA from 1 species
CCUACGGGAGACAGCAGUGGGGAAUAUUGCACAAUGGGGGAAACCCUGAUGCAGCGACGCCGCGUGAGUGAAGAAGGAAUUCGUUAUGUAAAGCUCUAUCAGCAGGGAAGUAAAUGACGGUACCUGAGUAAGAAGCUCCGGCUAACUACGUGCCAGCAGCCGCGGUAAUACGUAGGGUGCAAGCGUUAUCCGGAUUUACUGGGUGUAAAGGGAGCGUAGACGGCAGUGCAAGUCUGGAGUGAAAGGCGGGGGCGCAACCCCCGGACUGCUCUGGAAACUGUACGGCUGGAGUGCAGGAGAGGUAAGUGGAAUUCGUAGUGUAGCGGUGAAAUGCGUAGAGAUUACGAAGAACACCGGUGGCGAAGGCAGCUUACUGGACUGUAACUGACGUUGAGGCUCGAAAGCGUGGGGAGCAAACAGGAUUAGAUACCCCUGUAGUC